rnacentral:lncRNA from 1 species
CAGAAAGCACUGAGCUAGGCUGAAACACCUGCAUUUUGGAACUGCCUUACUCAAGAAAGCAACAAAGAGACCAUGUGGGGCUCAAAAGAGGUGGGGCUCUGCUCACUGGGUGGCAGACAAGUAGGAAAACGUACCUGGCGGCUGAAAGAACGACCUGUAAUUGGCGCACAUCGUGUGUCUGGUGGCGUCGACAGGUUAAGUGGGGAAUCCCACCCAGACCAACCCCUUUCCCCCCUGACAAGAGACUGAAAGAUGGAAUGUAGCACAACACCUUCAGUGUAGCCUUAGAGAGUAUGGUUGACUUUACACUGACAUAUUUCAUACUUAUGCGUUGAUUGUCAACUCUUCUGCAAUACGAUUUUCCAGUCACGUCUCGUACAAUAUCUGUAACUCACUGAAUAAAUACUGUAAGCAAAUUCCUAGGAGUCUGAAUCUUGAUUGAUUCUUUUCGAGGGGAGGUACAGUAAUAGCACCCACAUGCGCCUCGAAAUAUUUAGGCUAGUUGGGGCCACACACAAACCAUUCACUUGUGCGCCUUGCAUCAUGUUUUUAGUCUUGAUAGAAAUGUGAUAUAGAACCCGGGCCUGAAGUUAGAAUACAAGUGACGCCACAGAAUUGGACAUGCAAAUAUUGUUUUGAAAUGGUAAAAGCAAAACCUUUAUUCAGUUCAUGAUACAACACACAUCGUAGUCUUUCUGAUUUGUAGACCGACCACAUACAGGCCCUGGAUCGCGAAACAGUUCAAACGUUACUCGAAUUCAGUUCGUUUUGCACUCGCAGCAUAUAGCACAAAUCGGUAUACAGCAAAUCACCAAUAUGCACUCGCUAUCGGUUCAGAUAAUGUACGUGUUCUAAUUUGAUAUCCAAUAUGUCCACAAGGUGAUCCUAUUAUCAGACGAAAGGGUAUAUACACAUCCCUUAGUUCUGGGAGUUUUACACCGAUCCUCCUCCACUGUCAUGAACUUAAAGAGCAGAGAUUCCCCCGUUUAUCUACAAGUCCCUGACAAUAAUCAUCCUUAUGGCACAAAUCUCAUCUCAGAACAUUUUACACCUCAAAAUGUCUUGAUGCGUACAGAAGAGUCUCGGGGCAGAUGAAACCAACUUGGGACAAAGCACGCCAACACCAUCGGACUUGGAUAAAGAAACUCAAGUC